UAGGGAAUCUUCCGCAAUGGACGAAAGUCUGACGGAGCAACGCCGCGUGAGUGAAGAAGGAUUUCGGUUCGUAAAACUCUGUUGUUAGGGAAGAAAAAAUGUAUAGUAACUAUAUACAAAAGAGACGGUAUCUAACCAGAAAGCCACGGCUAACUACGUGCCAGCAGCCGCGGUAAUACGUAGGUGGCAAGCGUUGUCCGGAAUUAUUGGGCGUAAAGCGCGCGCAGGUGGUUUAGAAAGUCUGAUGUGAAAGCCCACGGCUCAACCGUGGAGGGUCAUUGGAAACUAAUAAACUUGAGUGCAGGAGAGAAAAGUGGAAUUCCUAGUGUAGCGGUGAAAAGCGUAGAGAUUAGGAGAAACACCGGUGGCGAAAGCGGCUUUUUGGCCUGCAACUGACACUGAGGCGCGAAAGCGUGGGGAGCAAACAGG
rnacentral:rRNA from 1 species